rnacentral:rRNA from 1 species
AGCUCCAAUAGCGUAUAUUAAAGUUGUUGCGGUUAAAAGCUCGUAGUUGGAUUUCUGCCGAGGACGACCGGUCCGCUUUCUGGGUGAGUAUCUGGCUCUUCCUUGGCAUCUUCUUGGAGAACACUACUGCACUUAACUGUGUGGUGUGGUAACCAGGACUUUUACUUUGAGGAAAUUAGAGUGUUUCAAGCAGGCGUGCGCCUUGAAUACAUUAGCAUGGAAUAAUAAGAUAGGACCUUAGUUCUAUUUUGUUGGUUUCUAGAGCUGGGGUAAUGAUU